rnacentral:rRNA from 1 species
UACGUAGGGGGCGAGCGUUGUCCGGAUUUAUUGGGCGUAAAGCGCGUGUAGGCGGCUUUGCAAGUCGGGUGUGAAAGCCCUCAGCUCAACUGAGGAAGUGCGCCCGAAACUGCAGAGCUUGAGUGCCGGAGAGGGUGGCGGAAUUCCCCAAGUAGAGGUGAAAUUCGUAGGUAUGGGGAGGAACACCGGUGGCGAAGGCGGCCACCUGGACGGUAACUGACGCUGAGACGCGAAAGCGUGGGGAGCAAACAGG